rnacentral:rRNA from 1 species
GAUGAACGCUGGCGGCGUGCCUAAUACAUGCAAGUCGAGCGAACGGACGAGAAGCUUGCUUCUCUGAUGUUAGCGGCGGACGGGUGAGUAACACGUGGAUAACCUACCUAUAAGACUGGGAUAACUUCGGGAAACCGGAGCUAAUACCGGAUGAUAUUUUGAACCGCAUGGUUCAAAAGUGAAAGACGGUCUUGCUGUCACUUAUAGAUGGAUCCGCGCUGCAUUAGCUAGUUGGUAAGGUAACGGCUUACCAAGGCAACGAUGCAUAGCCGACCUGAGAGGGUGAUCGGCCACACUGGAACUGAGACACGGUCCAGACUCCUACGGGAGGACGCAGUAGGGAAUCUUCCGCAAUGGGCGAAAGCCUGACGGAGCAACGCCGCGUGAGUGAUGAAGGUCUUCGGAUCGUAAAACUCUGUUAUUAGGGAAGAACAUAUGUGUAAGUAACUGUGCACAUCUUGACGGUACCUAAUCAGAAAGCCACGGCUAACUACGUG